rnacentral:tRNA from 1 species
GGUGGCUCAGUGGUAGAGUGCUUGCCUCACAAGCAUGGGGCCCUGGGUUCAAUUCCUCAGUACCA